rnacentral:sRNA from 1 species
GAAGUAUCCUCUGAGUAUGUUGCCAUC